UGAGGAAUAUUGCGCAAUGGGGGCAACCCUGACGCAGCAACGCCGCGUGAGUGAGGAAGGUUUUCGGACCGUAAAGCUCUGUCGAGCGGGAAGAAAUGUAUCGUGGCUAAUAUCCAUGAUAUUUGACGGUACCGCUAAAGGAAGCACCGGCUAACUCCGUGCCAGCAGCCGCGGUAAUACGGGGGGUGCAAGCGUUGUUCGGAAUUAUUGGGCGUAAAGAGCGUGUAGGCGGCUGAAUAAGUCAGAUGUGAAAUCCCUGGGCUUAACCCAGGAAGUGCAUUUGAAACUAUUCAGCUUGAGUAGGGGAGAGGAAAGUGGAAUUCCUGGUGUAGAGGUGAAAUUCGUAGAUAUCAGGAGGAACACCGGUGGCGAAGGCGACUUUCUGGCCCUAUACUGACGCUGAGACGCGAGUGGGUAGGUUGCGAACA
rnacentral:rRNA from 1 species